UAAAAGUCCCUCAGGUGUCAUCACUGAUAGCCAGCUGAACAGGGUUACAUAACCCUACAUACAGAGGACCAUUUGUUCUUAGCAUAGCACUAAAUGGGAACAUAAUUUGGAUUUGUGAUUUUGGGUGGAAUUGUGAAACAGAAGGCAAGGCAAGUGUUCUUGAUCUGAAGAUUCCCUGUGAUAAACUGAAUUUGUUUUUAAUCUCAUACAACCAAGGAUGCUAACCUGACUGCAGGGAUAACUGGACGGGAUUACAUCAGCUGCCUUGAUUAGGAGACAAUGUUAACCUUGGAUUUAAAAAUCUUGGAAUUCCUGGUGUGCCACUUCCCACAUCACAGAGCUCCUUCAGGUUGGCCAGGUGAAGGCAGUGUAAAUGGGAGAAAAAAGAGCUUGAUGUUCACUGUUCCAUUUGAGGCAAUGCUGACUCUGUCCUGGGCCACCAGCUGCACAAGGAGCAUAGGAAGAAUUGGGUGCCAGAAGAGCAGCACUGGAGGUGGUUGGCCUUGCAACUUCCACGUGCCUCAGAGCUCUCAGUAGUGAAACAGUGCAUCUCACCAGAAUGAAGGACAAAGCACUGAGGGUGAUCUCCUCCAACUCUUUGGCUACAGAUAAAUGCGUGUAAACCUGUCAUACACAAGUGAGUACAGAGUAACAAAGCAAGUUGUGCUUCAACCAGGAAGCAACUCUGGAAUAACUACUGGUCUGUAGCAUAAGGAUAUGUUUCCUAAUACUGUGCUGAGGUUUGCCAUUGCCUUAGACUGGAUUUCUGCAAGGACUUUUCUAUUUCAGAUUAUAUUGAACUACAAAUUCCAAGAUGGUUUUUCUCCUUUCUUCUGGUGAUAUGUAGGAGAUGUGAUUAAUUCUUCAAUUAUUCCAAUCUAAAUCAAGAGCAUCCUGUUAAAGCAGAACACAACAGACUUCUUGGCCCUCAAAUAAUUGCCAACCUUUACAAUUUUUGUUGAUUUAUGUCCACCACAGCUGAGACAUUUGAUCAAGGUCAUCAUGUUUUUAUUGCUCAAUGAGGCUCAGUAGACGCCUUGCAGGUCACUUGCUGUAGUGUUAUAGACUGCUGGUAGAUUUGAGAUCCACUAAAAUAAAAUCAUAAAGUAGAAAAGAGUUGUCAGGUCUAAUGGUAGCUGUGAUCAAUACCAUAUAAACUAGAUUAAAUUAAGCUUAGAAAAACAGUACUUGCGUACAUUGCAAAAUAAUAGCUGUGGUUGUUUUUUUUUUUUCCUGAUACUUUACUUCUUCACUGAAAUAAUUUUCUUACAAUCUCUUUGUGAUACCUUCUCCGAGAAGGUUGCUGUCAGGUAAAACUCUGCAGCUGUUCCAGAUUUUGGAGGAAGAAAUCAGACAAAUGAAAAUUCUUCAAACUGGAAUUUGGCCUCAACUGUAGCGAAAUCAGGUUGCAGAGUAAGGGGAGAAAAUAGCAAUUUUAUAUUAAAAAUAAGGAAUUUAGGGAAAAGGAGGCUUUUUGGCUUAACUUUCUGCAUUAUACGUCUCAGAUGUUGCUAUGUCUUCAAAUUAUAGGAGAUAUGUGUUCAUGGAAGCCCCCUUAUAGCAAAAUGGGCUUGGGGCAGUGGGACCCUACUCUUCUUGCCUUGUAUUUGGUCUCCCUGCAGCAUGGAUGCAUUCUUGGUAUUAUGAUUAAGUCAGAGCCACUUCUGUGGGAGUGUGUGAAGUAACAUCCAAAUAUGUCUGUUCAUAUUUAGACUACUAUUAAAAUUCAUUUUGUAUGCUCUUGUGAUCAUUUGCACUAAUUGUUGGUUAUUUCUUCUACUACCAAACUGAGCAGAACUUCCCACUAUAUGGGCUGAUCUGUUGCCUGUGUAGGAUCAGAUAAGGAUUAAGAUUUUAUGGCAGAAUUUCCAAGGUAUAGAGCAUGUGUCCUUUUUCUUCUCUUCCUGUGUUCCCAUGCACUGCCCAAAACAUGCAUUAUCUGCCAGGCAUUUCUGUGAUUCCAGGUUCACUGUGCUACGUGCUCAUCUUGCUAGUGAUGGACACUGCAGCUGUAUAUGCAGAGUGAGCCCUUAUUUACCUGCAAGACGCAGUAAGGAAGACCUUGGGGCUCCUUCCAGCAGAGGCAGAGAUAUGUACCAAGCAAGAGCCAAGGUCUGGGCGGAUCUGAGGGAUCUGCCAAGCUGUAAGUUGAUUCCUGCUAAAUCACUUCGUUGACAGAUAGGUAAAGGUGUGAGGUGUGGGCAAAGAUUUCAGAAGAUACAUCCAGCACAGAAUAUAGCCACACAAAAUGAACAGUAAUUUUGAAGUCAAUCAUUACUUGCCUCUGAAUAAUGACUUUUAAAUUUUUUAGAUACUGACUAUUAUUUACCUGGGGCAAAAUACAAUUCUCUGUCAUCUAGCUGAGCUCCCAGUGCAGCAGAGCUCCCAGUACAGAACUCAGAGCCAACUUUAGCUUUAUACUUUUCUCUUUUUUUUUCCCUAUGGAGUUUACUCUCCCCUUAUCUACAGAAUGAUCUAAAUUUGCUGGAGCUUUCUCACCUGCUUCAAAAGGAAACAUCUUUUUCUUAUUGGAUAUGCAAGUUAAGUAGCACUGAACUCCUAACAGCCAGGGCAAGCUGAGUACACUUGAGGCUCAUGUAGUCAAUAUGCUGACGUAUCCAAUAAUUACAAAAUAUAGCUAUGUCAGUUAUUGUUCCCUGCACAGUUUUAACUUUAGUUUAAUGCUGUGGAACAUAAAUUGAACUACAUCAUAGACUCACUUUGCUUCUUUCUCUACUGAGCUUCCAAUUUUACUUGUAAUACAAGUUUUUUGGGUUUUUGUUUUGUUUUGUUUUUUCAAUUGUAAAAUAUUUACCAUGAAGAGUAAAUGCCACUGUUAGUAGCAUUGUGAGGGCUGUUCACCAUAUUGCAAGGGGCCCUUUUUUCUAGGCAAGCAGACUUGUUCCUGGACCUGCAAAUGUAAUGGGAUGAGAAAGGACCACAGCGUACAAAGUAGGAGGGGCCCUGGGGCUGUAAGAAAUACAGAAAAAGGUUGUCCCCAGCUUUCCUCUGUAUGCAUAGCAAUCAAAUCUGGUUUUGUAACUUUCUAACAUCUGAAGUAUUGCCAUCUUGAACAAUGAGUGUACUUUCACAAAUGAGAACAUGGAAAUGAAAUUGAGCAAUUUAGUUUUGAUUUUUAGACAUAACAGAAAAACACAGCAAAGUAAACAAAUAAUGUAUAUACAGCCAAACUUGUUAAGGUAACUAUGAAAUGUACCCUGAACUGUGCUCUGUGGAAUCUAUGAUCUAAAAGCACUGAAAAUGAAUUGGAUGUUUAAAUCUUGUGAUCUUGAUCUAAGCUAUUUGAGGAACAAUAACUUAGAUGAUACCCUUGUGUGUGGGGGGGGGAAAUAAAUGCAUUCUGUUUUAAUGGCUUGAUAUCUUGUGGCUUGAGGGGCAAAAAUAUUAUAGUAAUUUUAAAUUCACUAUAUUGUAUUAAACUA